rnacentral:rRNA from 1 species
GACAGAGGAGCCAAGCGUUAGGCGGAAUCACUGGGCUUAAAGCGUGUGUAGGCGGAUUUGUAAGUACCUUGUGAAAUCCCACGGCUCAACCGUGGAACUGCUUGGUAUACUGCUUAUCUUGGGUCGUCUAGGGGCGAGCGGAACAAACGGUGGAGCGGUGAAAUGCGUAGAUAUCGUUUGGAACGCCAAUGGUGAAAACAGCUCGCUGGGGACGUACCGACGCUGAGACACGAAAGCCAGGGGAGCGAACGGG